rnacentral:lncRNA from 1 species
AUCUAUAAUAUAUAUGUAAAUAAAUAUAUGGUUAAUAUAAAUAAAUAUACGGCUAAUAAUAUUAAUAUUACCAUUUCGAAGCGCCUCGUGUGAAUGUAGUUUCUUCUUAUCACCGUCUUGCAAAAACGAGUUGUUCGAUCCACGAGAAGACGAGUAAUGAGAUAUAGGAGAGUUGUUAUUACAUGAGUUUAAGUGGUGAAGGUGAUUGUAAUUGGACGAGGCGGUUGCAUGGGAAUUAACGGUCGAGGGUGGGCUUUGGACCAAGUAUAGUGCGGCGUAGGGGUAAGAUCGGAAUAACGAUUCUACUUCUUCCUCUUCGGAAGAUUUCGCCAUUGCCACCGCUACUGUGUGUGUGCUGUGUGAGAAAAAAAAUGGCAAAUGGUCA